ACGGCCGUACCAUGCUGAAUAUACCGGUUCUCGUUAGAUCACCGAAGUCAAGCAUCAUUGGGCGCGGUCAGUACUUGGGUGGGUGACCGCCUGGGAACACUGCGUGCCGUU
rnacentral:rRNA from 1 species